AUUGAACGCUGGCGGCAUGCCUUACACAUGCAAGUCGAACGGCAGCACGGGUGCUUGCACCUGGUGGCGAGUGGCGAACGGGUGAGUAAUACAUCGGAACAUGUCCUGUAGUGGGGGAUAGCCCGGCGAAAGCCGGAUUAAUACCGCAUACGAUCUCCGGAUGAAAGCGGGGGACCUACGGGCCUCGCGCUAUAGGGUUGGCCGAUGGCUGAUUAGCUAGUUGGUGGGGUAAAGGCCUACCAAGGCGACGAUCAGUAGCUGGUCUGAGAGGACGACCAGCCACACUGGGACUGAGACACGGCCCAGACUCCUACGGGAGGCAGCAGUGGGGAAUUUUGGACAAUGGGCGAAAGCCUGAUCCAGCAAUGCCGCGUGUGUGAAGAAGGCCUUCGGGUUGUAAAGCACUUUUGUCCGGAAAGAAAUCCUUGGCCCUAAUACGGUCGGGGGAUGACGGUACCGGAAGAAUAAGCACCGGCUAACUACGUG
rnacentral:rRNA from 1 species